GCGAGAAUAGGCUCUGAGGAAGUGACAAAAUUUUCAUAUUUUUCUUUAAUGAGUUGAGGAAGUGGGAGCACAUGUAAACAGAAGAUGACGUUUAGUUCUUCUUAGUUUUCGACUGCAGACCAUGACUAGAUCAAACUUUAGAGCUGUUGCACUUUUUAGGAUUACUGGAUUUUGUUUCAUUGAUUACUUUGUCUGAUAAUGUAGACUCUUUGCUAUGAACUGGAUUAGGAUGAUAAUGACUUCAAUGCCAUGUUAUUUAAUUGUUAGAAAUGCUGGUCAUCACCAGCUCAUAAUUUCUAUUUUGUGUACCAUAUGUAGGUUAAGAGAGGAGUGAUUUGAGUUAUUAUCUGAAAGAAGCAAAAUAAAAA
rnacentral:misc_RNA from 1 species